UGAGGAAUAUUGGUCAAUGGACGAGAGUCUGAACCAGCCAUGCCGCGUGAAGGAUGAAGGCGUUCUGCGUUGUAAACUUCUUUUGCGGGGGAAGAAACCUUGAUAUUCUUAUCAAGCCGACGGUACCCCGAGAAUAAGCACCGGCUAACUCCGUGCCAGCAGCCGCGGUAAUACGGAGGGUGCAAGCGUUAUCCGGAUUUACUGGGUUUAAAGGGUGUGUAGGCGGGCUGUUAAGUCAGUGGUGAAAUCUCUGGGCUCAACCCGGAAACUGCCAUUGAUACUAUCAGUCUUGAAUUCUGUUGAGGUGGGCGGAAUACAUCAUGUAGCGGUGAAAUGCUUAGAUAUGAUGUAGAACACCAAUUGCGAAGGCAGCUUACUAUGCGGUUAUUGACACUGAGGCACGAAAGCGUGGGUAGCAAACC
rnacentral:rRNA from 1 species